GCGCUUUUAGUUUAGUUCGGUGGGUCUCCAAAACCCAAUGUCGUAGGUUUAAAUCCUACAGAGCAUG
rfam:Gossypium hirsutum cultivar TM-1 chromosome 24, whole genome shotgun sequence